rnacentral:misc_RNA from 1 species
GAAGAAUAGUUAAGUAGCAAUUCAUGCUUUCUUUUUCUUGUUGUUAUUGGUUUUUUUUUUUUUUUCUUUGUUUGGUUAUUUUUAAAAGGACGGUUAUAUUGGGCUGUGGAUUCUUCGUCGUUUCUCGAAAUUUAGUGUUUCUCUUAUGGAUCAUUACAAACAUGUUUCGUACAAUAGACGCCCUUGGCGUUACAAUUUAGGAUUUAAAAAGUCUAUUUGGAAGGCCUUUUUUUUUUUUUAAUUAGUUUCAACACUUAUUUUGAAGAUUUCUGUUCCUGAUUUUAACUGCAAAUAUCUUGUAUC